AUAAUAUGGACUCAACAAAACGAAUUUGCUACCUAACUUGUACAAUGCAUAAUUAGAAUUUAGUUUCAAUAAUUUUCACAAUUUCAGAUGUAGAAAUUUAGAGUUUAUUAUUUUCAGAAUGAUUAAGCAGCAAAUCUUUAAUAACAAUAUAAAGAGAUGCAUUCUCUACUACAAAAUUCUAAAAAUUCUGCGUCAAAUUCAACAUUUCCUCUAUUUUGUAAAAUUGUAAAACAACGUAAUAAAUUGUUACAGGACUCAUUCAUAAAGACUAUUUACACUUUAUUUAAUAUAGAAUAUAUAUAUGAUGCGGCAGAAAAGCAAUUUGAACGUUUGGGACUGUCACCUACCAGAAACUACACCAGCCAAUAUAGCACAAGCAUAGGUUCUCUAUAGAGGUUGCUUGUAAAAUCAGCUUCUCUACUUGACUUGGUACAUCCAAUUGCUGUUGGGGUUUGAAAUCCCGACCAGUAAGUUUAUUGGACACACGAUUAAGAACGGUUAUAGCUCUUUGAUUGAGUAUCUCGGGUUUUUGACGUUCUUCAAGUGUAAUUCCUUCUUCGUUUAAGCGUUUCCGGUGUAAACCAUCAAUUGUCUCACCGAGAAGUGUAUUAGGUUCGUUAGAUUGCUUUUCAUCGAUAGAAGGUGAAUAUGCAGGAGCAAGGCGCCAGUUAAUAAGAGGAUCGUAAACGAAAGCUUCUAAAACUGCCAUCACAGACUCCUUAUUAGUACGAAGAACUCGCAUAACAUGUUCGCAUGUUAUCCGGAACGUCCCCUCUAUACCACUAACUUCCAUUGCGUUAACAAGCAUUCGCGUAAGGCGGAAAGGAAUCUUCUCGGGAAACUUUUCUCGAUGCAUUGCUACUUCAAAACAAUCUCCAAAAUCGAUAUGGAUGAUAUUACCUGUAUACCUGUCCAGCAUCAAAUUGGAAGGAUGACGAUCGCCCAAACCUAAGAUGUACCCUACCAUUGACAUCACCGCAAGAGUACGAGAAUAGUUAGUUCGCCUAUUAAGCCAAGCUUCUGAGCUACGACUCUUCAGCCAUAAAACGCGGUAUAAAUCCUGCCCCGUAGUACUAAGUAGGGCAUAUUCAAAGACUUCAACUUUCUGAAGGAGAGUGAGACGAUCGUAAUCUGGAGCCAUCUGAAUGAUCAACCUAUGUUCUAUGUUGAGUAAAAUCUUUCUGCUUUCUCUGUAGUCACGAAUUAAGACAUGCAAAGUAUCGCUAUCCAAAACCCAGCCUAAAAGGCCUGAAUCCGGUGAUAAAGGAAUCACUGGAUACCUUUGGAUUGAAAGUAAGCGCUUAAAAGUUUCCGGGUCAGCUAGUAACAGAUUGUUACAAAGCCCAAAUAGCUGCAUAACACGUUCAUCUUGUCUGAUGUCCUCGUGACCCUUUAAAACAUAUUGAUAAUCUUUUCCAUCACUGCCUUUAAUACUCAGUCGUCUCGGACGUUGCUUAGAUGUUAUCACGUUGAAUGUAGGGUAAAACUUUACAAUUCUUAUAACAGGUUUCCCGCUAACGUAUGUUCCCGGAACAGCUAACUCAAGAUCAUGUACAUGUAAGAGUUUAGGAGAAACGUAUUGUAAAUCUAAUGUUGUCAACUGAGGUAGCUGUUUACGAAUUUUCUUGAAAACUUGGUAAUAUAAGUCCCAGGCCUGAUUUAAGUCUGAUAUAUCACCAGUUUGCUCAAAACGGAUACAACAAUCCCUUGCUUCGACUAAGUCACGUCCAAAGGCUUGUUGGAAAGAAAUUUCACGAAGCGUUUCCGGACCACGUUCCAACAUUUCAUGCAAUGGUCUCAACACGGCAAACAUACCCUCAAUGUUAUGAUCACCAAAAUACAAUCGUGAAGCCUCUUCCAAUCCUUCAUGCCAUUGUUCAUGCCAAAGGAUUGCAGCUCUGAUAAGCUCAUGACUAACAAGUCUUGCUUGUUCAACUAGACGUGGACUAUGUGUUUUCAAGGAAUCCAUAAUUGCUAAAGCAGCGUUUUGCCUAGCAGAACUCUGCGAUUUUGCUGCUACAGUUAAAGGAUAAACAAGAGCUUGGGGAUGCGCGCGACCUACAUCGGAAAGCAACUGAUGCACAGAUUUACGAACACUCAAAGAGGAGGCAUGAAUUCUCGCAAUAAGCUGAGGUAUAACGUCCAGCCAGAUAUCGAUGUUCACAGUGGAUAUACCAACGUUCAAAGUAUUAAUUACAUUGCUAUUAUUGCCGAAUUUAAACCAAAGAUUAAGAAGGCGCAAGGUGUCCUGAAGGUUACCUUUGCUUAAAGCAAUUGACUUAAAAAAGCCUUUGACUGCUGGAAUAAUAUACUGCUCAUAUGCAGCACUUGGGAUUUGCUCCUCUGAUUGCUCCAAAAACUUUACAGCUUCGAAAUUAGCUAAUGCCCAAGAGUGCCAAGCUUUAUACCAUUUAGAAUCAAAUUGCGUAGCAUACAUAUAUGAUUGAAGAACUCCAUCAAAAGAUCCUUCUGACCAAUUAUUCUCAAUUUCUUGCUGCCAUUGACCUUGCUUGUGAUA